ACGGGGACCCGCACAAGCAGCGGAGCGUGUGGUUUAAUUCGUUGCUACACGAAGAACCUUACCUGGGUUUGACAUAUAGGUUGUAGGGAACUGAAAAGGGACCGACCUUCGGGGAGCCUAUACAGGUGUUGCAUGGCUGUCGUCAGCUCGUGUCGUGAGAUGUUCGGUUAAGUCCGCUAACGAGCGCAACCCUCGUCGUAUGUUAUAUGUGUCAUACGAGACUGCCGGUAAAAAGCCGGAGGAAGGUGAGGAUGAUGUCAAGUCAGCAUGACCUUUAUAUCCAGGGCUACACACACGCUACAAUGGUCUGUACAAUGGGUAGCCAAGCCGCGAGGCGGAGCCAAUCCUGAAAGCAGGCCUCAGUUCAGAUUGCAGUCUGCAACUCGACUGCAUGAAGCCGGAGUUGCUAGUAACCGCAGGUCAGCAAUACUGCGGUGAAUACGUUCCCGGGUCUU
rnacentral:rRNA from 1 species